CGCGCCGGUCGGCCCCGCCCUCGCGGCGAAGGUGGCUGCCGAGGUGGGCGGGGAGGUCAGGUGACCCGGCCGGCGUCCCAAGAUGGCGGCGGCGGCGGCGGCCGGGAGGCCCUGGCGGCGUCCCGGCCACUAAGGCGGGCUCUGCGCGGCUGGCGGCGGACGGGCCGGGCCGAGGGCCGGCGGACAGGCGGCCGCUGUCCCCCCGCGCUCCGCGGCCGGGGCUGGGCCGUGUGGCGGCGGCGCCGGGGAAUGCUUUUGCUGGGCCCGGCCUCUCCUUCCUCAACUUAGGGCGGCGGCGGGCCCGCGCCCCUGGGUCCCGGGCCAUGGCGCUGCGGGAGCUCAAAGUGUGUCUGCUGGGGGAUACGGGUGUAGGUAAAUCCAGCAUCGUCUGGCGGUUUGUGGAAGACAGCUUUGAUCCGAACAUCAACCCAACCAUAGGGUAAGAGAUGGCUCUUGUUCACUGUGCAUCUAAAGGGGCGCGGAGGGCCCCCGGAUGAGUGACACGUGUGGCACUGCCGCCCCUCCCUGCACCCCAGGCGCUGGUCCCAGUCACCUCUGUAGGGACCUGAAGGAACACAGUGAGGACUGGGGUAUUUUUAGGAAAAUGGUCCUCAGAUUUGUGGGGAGUGAAUGCUUGCUUAUUGUGAGAAUAGUCUUGCAAGCUUCAGUCUGGUUACACCUGGAAAGCAGGCAGGGCAGGUGGGCCCUGUGUUGCCGGUGUGUCAGCCACAAGGUGCUUAGGUGGCCUUAGUCUUUGCUCCAAACCCUUCUCCCACAUCCCUGUACCAGUAGCAGUACUGAGUUAGUACAAGCAAUGUUGACGUGGAAGGUUUUUCCGGGUGUCUGGUUCUUUGGGUAAGUGAGGUUGUACCUGUAGGUCUUUGGCUCGUGGAAGCACGCUUUGCAGGGGGUGUGUGAGUUUCUCGGGGUGAGCGGGGUGUUUUAACGCUGGGUAGCUGGUGUGCUCCCUUGUCGAUGCCUCCAUUUGAAGAGAGCUUCGCUGUUCUCCAUCGUAAGGGUGGAAUCCGCGUUUGUGCUCUGUGCGGGGUGGGCCCUGCCUGCCCUGCCGGAAGAUUGCCCGCUGCGGCGUUGGAAGCCCUGCUGUCAGUUUACGCACUCAGAAUCUUUGGUGUGCUUUGUGAGCUCUGGGUUUCCUACACAUUUGAAGCCAGGGGAUGGAAUCCACCCCCAACUGUUCCUGUAAUUAAAAUGCCCUACACGGAAGGACUGGGUGUGUCCACAUGCUUGAAGUCUGACCUCACCCUCGGAAGCGCCUGCCUGUCGCUACCUGCGUGGAGAAGUGAAGUUGACAGAGUUGACAGCAGGUAGCACUGAUGACUCAGUGAGUGACAGCUUCACCUGAGUCAGAACGGGAAACCCUCCAGCAGCGUGGUGAGGCGUGGCCCCCCAGGAGGGAUGAGAGGGAAGGGUGAGCUUGGCCCCUGCCGGGGAGGCCGUGGCUCCUCCCAGCCUCUGCCAGUGACUCCUGAGCCUGCUCUCACCCGCUCUUGGCUCACGUCUCACGGGAGGGAGGGAUGCACGGCUCCCUCUCAUUCCCCCCCUUCUCCCUUUCCUUCCUUCUUUCUCUUCAGCCUCAGAAUGCGGCUUUCUGUCUCACGACCUGGGCUCUGGGACCCCAGCGUCUUUGUCGCUCACCCCUUUCUUCCAGCACUGCCCUCCUGGCGACAGCGGCAGACGCGUCCCCGGCCCGUCCUGCUGCCCUGCUGCUCAGCUCGUGGGCCCCCGGGAGAGGCCUGCUGCUGGAGCACCCUCUCCCGCCCACUCCUGACGGCGCACCCCUCCCUCCCCAUCAGCGGCAAGUUACUCACUCCUGUCCAGGCCUGGGCCUGGGCCUCCUGACUGUCCCAGCACGGACUGCCGGUGUCUGAUUCCCGGCCCUCACCUUGCCUUGUGGGAAUGCGGCCCGACACCGGCAGCCGGCUGUACCACAAGUCUGCCACGUGCCAGCCAGUCACCCUGGACGGUUGAGUACCUGAUCCGUUUCCUCAUCAGCAAAACGAGGGUGGCGAUAGGACCAGCGUCAGAUUGUUAGGUGAGUUCCGUGAGAAACGCGUUGAACCGCUUAGCGAAGUGCCAGGGCGCUGUGGGAGCUCACUAAAUAGCUGCCAGUUUUAUUUUUAAAAUCAAGUCUUUAAGAUGGUUUUUGUUGGGGUGGGCAUUUGGCACCGUGGUUAAGCUGCCACGUGGGCGACCCACAUGCCUUGUCUGAGUGUCUGGUUCCAGUCCCAGCUCCACUUCCCGUCCAGCUUCCUGCCAACACGCACGCUGGGAAGCAGCCGGUGACGGCUCAUGUGUUUGGGUCCCUUCACCGUGUGCGAUACCCAGAUGGAGUUGAGACUCCUGACACCAGCGUGGCCGAGCCCUGGCUGUGGCCGGCAUCCGGAGCAUGAACCAGCCUAUGGAAGCUCUUUCUCCCUGUAUGCUUUUCAAAUAAAGUGAAAACAGAAUUCUUAAAAAUACAUUGAAGUGAAAUUUGUAUCACUGUAUCAUGUAUGUGUAGUAUCUGUGGAAAACAGUGGUACAGGACUGGUAAGUCCAGUUUAAUAUCUGACGUUGCCCUGGCCCCGCUUGCUCCCUCGAGGCAUUUAGCUCUGUUCCUGCCCUCUCCAGGUGUCUCAGGACACCGUGUACUGACAGGUCACGAUCCCGACUCCUGCGCUCCACUUCUCAGUGUUAGCCACUGAUUUUUUUUUCUUUGAAAGGUGAGGAUUGAGCCAUCCUUCCACCUCCUUCUGCUGGUUCGCCUCCCUGCACCUUGGCGUCACAGCUCUGUGACGAAGAGGUUGUGCUUCGUGUUUAACAGACACCCACCCGAGCAGGGUGUCCUGCCCUCUCCUAGCCCCAGCACUGUGCCGCUCGGCGGCCCUGGGCCAGGUGUUUAACAUCUUUGUGACUUUGUGGCAUCUAACAUACAGAGUUGUAAAAAUCAAGUUGGAACUCAAGAAUUACUUAGAAUGGUGCUUGCCUUCUGAUAAGCAUUUUUUAUUUCUUAGCAGUUUAAAAAAAAAUUUUUUUUAAUUUAUUUGACAGGUAGAGUUACAGACAGAGACAAAGAGAAAGGUCUUCCUUCCAUUGGUUCACCCCCCAAUGGCUGCCAGGGCUGGCACUGUGCCGAUCCGAAGCCAGGAGCCAGGUGCUUCUUUCUGGUCUCCCGUGCGGGUGCAGGGCCCAAGUACUUGGGCCAUCCUCCACUGCACUCCCUGGCCACAGCAGAGAGCUGGACUGGAAGAGGGGCAACCGGGACAGAAUCCGGUGCCCAUAUGGGAUGCCAGUGCCGCAGGUGGAGGAUUAACCAAGUGAGCCACAGCGCCGGCCCAGCAGUUUUUUUUUUGUUUGUUUGUUUGUUUGUUUGUUUGUUUUAGUAAGCUAGCACUAGUUUUGAAUGUUACAUAGAUGGGAUUAGGCAGGAUGUAUGUAUUUCAUGUGUCGAUUUUCAGGAGUUCUGAGAUUCAUCCAUGCUGCUCCCUGCCCGAGCAGUAUAUUCACUGUUAUCACUGUGUAAUCAGUGUCCAUUGAUUGAAUAUACCAUAGUUAGCUAAUAUUUAUCUGUUCAUGGUUGGCGAUUUUGUUUCUCAGUUGGACAUUUGAUUUUAAUUUGAGGUUAUUAUGCCUAAUUCUGUGAACAAUCUUGUACCCAUAUUUAUAAUUUUUUGGUGGAUAUUUACAAGCAGCCAUCAAAAAGGUCAUGGGUAUGUGUGUUAUCUUUUUUUAAAAAAAUAUUUAUUUUUAUUUAUUUGAAAGAGUUAGAGAGAGAGGUAGAGACAGAGAGGUCUUCCAUCUGCUGUUCACUCCCCAAAUGGCUGCAACAGCUGGAGCUGGGCCUAUCCAAAGUCAGGAGCCAGGAACAACUUCUGGGUCUCCCGCAUGGGUGCAGGUGCCCAAGCACUUGGGCAUCUUCUUCUGCUUUCCCAGGUCACAGCAGAGAGCUGGAUCGGAAGUGGAGCAGCCAGGGCUCGAACCAGCACCCAUAUGGGAUGCCAACACUUCAGGCCCAGGAUUUAUCCCACUGCACCACAGCAUUGGCCCUUGUGUGUUAUCUUCAGUUUUAUAUUUAGUUUUAUUUUUCCAUGAACUUUUUUGAAGCUUGUUGGUGUGUCUGUCUCUUGCUCGCUCGCUCGCUCGUGCUCUCUCUAGCAGUGGAAUUGCCAGAUCACAGGAAAUAAAUUCCUGAAAAGAAUUGAAAGAUACUUCGAUGCAGAAAUGUUUGACACCUGUGCAUGGUUUUGACAAUGCUCGCUUCCUGGGCAUUCCCUCAGCUGUCUUCAACUCUCAUCUGCCCAUCAGUUGCUCUAUGGCCUCCGCGACUCUUGGUAUGGUCAGUCCUUAAUUUGUGCGCUGCUGUCUCAUUUUGUGUCCCUGAGGGCUAAAGCCAUUGAUCAGUUUUUUACCUGUUGAUUGGCCGUUCGGAUAUCAGGCCUUGUGAAGUACUCAUUUCUCACGGUGUAGACACACACUUGGAGUGUCUCGUGGAGACUGGUCGUAUGUUGGCUUUGUCUUUCCGAAAGAUCAGAAGUUCUGAUUUUUAAUGUAGCCCAUUUGUUUAAUCUGUCUUUUCCUAUACGGUUGGUGCUUUUUAGGUCCUGUUUAAGAAACUUUGAUUUACCAAGUUUAUGAAAAUAUUUUCCUCUUUAAUAGAAACUUUUCCAAUUUAUAUCAAAAAACUCACUCUAGUGAGUGAAAUAUAAGAUAGAGAUUAAGUGUGGGGAGCUGGUUUGUUUUGUUUUGUGGCUAAUUUCAGUGCGCAUGUCCAGUGGUCCUGCCCGAAUCUUACAGCUGCCUGUAACCACCGCUCUGUUCUGAGCCAUAGUUGUCAUUAAUUGAUCCGUCUGUGUUUAUAAGGCUCUGUAUAUCAGUUUUCUGUUAUAAUCCAUUGCUCUGUGUUAUUAAUUGACUUUAGUAAGUACAGUUUGCAUUCAGUAAAAUGCACCUAUUUUGAGUGAACUUCUGGUGGAUUUUCACAGAUUUUGCAUAAAUCGCCAGCACGAUCAUGAUGGGAUACACCUCCCUCCCCUUAGGUUCCCUUUCACUCCACCCUUUGAGCCCCACACCUGCCCUGGCUCCAGGCCGCCACUGAUUAAACUCUGCGCUUCAAAUGUUGUUGUCUUUUGUAUAGGGUUUCAUGUGAACGCAGCUGCCGUCUGUGUGCUCUAUAUGUCUAGAUGAUAUUUUUUUGACGUCUGCCUAUAGUGUUCUUUUAAAGAUUGUUUAUCUGAAAGACAGAGUGACAGAGAGAGGUCUUACAUCUGCUCAUUCACUCCCCAAAUGCCCACAACAACCAGGACUAGGCCAGGCUGAAGCCAGGAACCCAGAACCCAUGUGGGUAGCAGGGACCAAAGCGCUUAAGCCAUCACCUGCUGCCUCCAGGACGCACUAGCAGGAGACUGAAUGGGAAGUGGACUCUCUGGGACUCGACCGACCUCGGGAUGCAGGCAGUCCUGGUGGUGACUCAGGCCACACAGCUUUUACCCCAGCAGCUUGGUGCUUUGAAUUCUGGUCGAUGAUCUGUUGCUACUGGGUUUUGUUUAUUGUGUGAGGUAGAGGUGAAGGAUCGUUGUUUCCUUCAUGUGUCAUCAUAGUCAUUCUAGCAACGUUUACUAAUGUUGAAUUCAGCAUAUGUUGUAUUCCCUUGGCACCUUGCUCAAGAGAAGUGUGUGUGUGUGGGGGGGGUGUGUUUCUGGAUUUCCCCGUUCUAUUCCAUUCAUCUCUUUACCCUUCAGAGCAAGAUCAUUUGAUUGCUGUAGAUCUAUGGAAAGUCUUGAAAUUGGGUAGUGUAUGUCAUCCAGUUACAGACUGAUUUUUCGGAUUUGUUUGAUUCCUCUAUAUCAGGAGUGGGGAACCUUUUUUUCUGCCAUUUAGAUAUUUAUAACAUCAUUUGCAGGACAUACGAAAUUAUUAGCUUAAAAAUUCACCCGGUAUAGAUUUAUUGAAUUUUGAAUCCCCUGGAAUCGCCCUGGCAGGACCGGACCAAAUGAUUUCAUGGGGCUUGUGUGGCCAGCGGCUCUGCCCCGCCUCCAGGCUCCAGCUCGUGCCUCUGCCAACAUUGCCUCCUCUAAUUCUCCUCCAUGGCCUACCAUGUCCCUUUAUACUACAGGCAUCUCUGCUGAUUUUCUUUUUAAGAUUUAGUUAUUUAUUUGAAAGGCAGAGUUAGAGAGAGAGUGAGAGAGAUCUUCACAUCUACUGGUUCAUUCCCCAGAUUGCUGUGACGUUGGAGCUGGGCCCAGCCAGGAGCUUCUUCCUGGUCUCCCACGUGGGUGCAGGGGCCCAAGCAUCUGAGUCAUUCCACUGCUUUCCCAGGUGCAUCAACCGAGAGCCGGAUCGGAUCAGAGCAGCUGGGACUUGAACCAGUGCCUAUAUGGGAUGCUGGUAUGGCAGGUGGCAGCUUAAUCCACUAUGCCCCAGUGGCAGCCCUGGUUUUUUGUUUGCUUGUUUUAGUUUAUUUUGGUUUAAAGUUGUUCAUCAAAUUCUGAUUGUCCUGACCUCUUUUAAAGAUUUAUUUGCAAGACCAGUACUGUGGUGUAGCAGGUAAAGCCACCGCCUGCAGUGCUGGCAUCCCAUGUGGGCGCGGGUUCGGGUCCCACCUGCUCUGCUUCCAAACCAGUUCUCUGCUGUGGCCUGGGAAAGCAGUAGAAGAUGGCCCAAGUGCAACAGAGAGAGAGGAAGAGACAGAGACAGAGACAGCCAUAGACAUCCAUCUGCUGAUUCGCUCCCCAAAUGGCGACGCCAGCGAGGUGUGAGCCAGGCUCAGGCCAGGAGCCAGGAACUCCAUUCAUGUUUUGCAUGUGGUGACAGGGGCCCAGGUACUUGAGCCAUCUCUGCUGCCCUCCCAGUAUCAGGAGUGAAGCGCCCAGGGUUCCAUCCAGCUCUGAUGUGGGGUGCAGGCAUCACAGGUGGUGGCUUGACGCACUGUGCCGCACAGCCCCGCUCCCUCAUCCUUCUAAUCGCAUCAGCAUCUACAGUGAUAAUGGCCUGAAACUUUCAUUCUUGGUAUGUGUAAUGUGAGUCCUUUCUCUUUUUCUUUUUUUUAAGAUUUAUUUUGGAGCCAGUGUUGUGGCGCUGGCAUCCCAAAUAGACAUUGGUUGAGUUCCAGCUUCUCCACCUCCAACCAGCUCCCUGCUAUGGCCUGGGAAAGCAGUGGAGACGGCCCAGGUGCAUGGGCCAUCGUCUGCUGUUCUCCCAGGCACAUGAGCAGGAGCUGGGUCGGAAGUGGAGCAGCCGGGACUCAGGUGGCACCAUGUGGGAUGCCAGUGCUGCACAGGCAGCACCUUAACCGCUACACCACAGCACCAGCCCCAGUCCUCCUUUCCCCUGGUCUGUCCAGCUACAAGUUUAUCAAUUUCAUUAGCCUUCAAAUAAGCAAUUUUUUGGUUUCAUUAAUAUUUCCCGUGUUCUACUUAAUUGAUUUUUGCUUUCACCUUCUUUUAUUUCUUUGAUUUAAUGUGUUCUUUUUCCAGCUUUUUAUUGGAAGUUUAAGCCAUUGAUUUUUUUUUUUUUUUUUUUUUUUUUUGACAGGCAGAGUGGACAGUGAGAGAGAGAGACAGAGAGAAAGGUCUUCCUUUACUGUUGGUUCGCCCUCCAAUGGCCGGCACACUGCGCCUAUCUGAAGGCAGGAGCCAGGUGCUUCUCCUGGUCUCCCAUGGGGUGCAGGGCCCAAGCACUUGGGCCAUCCUCCCCUGCACUCCCUGGCCACAGCAGAGAGCUGGCCUGGAAGAGGGGCAACCGGGACAGAAUCCGGCGCCCCGACCAGGACUAGAACCCGGUGUGCCGGUGCUGCAAAGCAGAGGAUUAGCCUAGUGAGCCGCGGCGCCAGCCGCCAUUGAUUUUUUUUAAAGAUUGAUUGAUUUAUUUAUUUGAAAGGUUAGAGUUUAAAGAGAGAGUAAGACAGAGAAAGGUCUUCCAUCUGCUGGUCCAUUCCCCAGAAGGCAACAGUGGCUGGGGCUGGGUCAGGCUGAAGCCGGGAGCUUUCCUCUGGGUUCCCCACACUGGUGGCAGGUGUCCUCCUUGGACCGCCUUCCGAUGCCCUCCCAGGCACGCUAGCAGGGAGUUGUGGAGAGCUAGGACUCGAACUAGUGCUCGUGUGGCUGCCAGCAUCAUAGGCUGGGACUUAGCCCAGUCCUUAGGCCAUUGAUUUUGAGGGCCUUUUUUUUCUCCUUAUGUGAGCACUUAGAAAUCUAAAUUGCCCUCUACUUGUUUAGGUGAAUCUCACACAUUUUUAAAAAUUGUAUUGGGGCUGGCGUUUUGGUACAGCGGGUUAAGCUACUGCCUGUAAUGCCGGCGUCCCAUAUGAGCGCUGGUUUGAGUCUUGACUGCUCCACUUCCAACCCAUUUCCCUGCCAGUGCUCCUGGAGCAGCAGAAACAGUUGGACCCAUCACCACUGUGGGAGACCCGGGUGGAGCCCUGGCUGUAGCCUGCCCCGGCCCUGGCCGUCGCUGGCGUUUGAGGGGGAACCAGCAAAUGGGAGCAUGCUCUUGCUCUGACUCUGUCUUUCAAAUACAUAGUUUUUAAAAAUAAAAAAUGAAAAUUUAAUUAAUUUAUUUGAGAAAGAGUUCCCAUCCACAAGUGUCUGCGAAGACCCACACAGGCACGUGCCAGAACCAGGAAGUUAGUCUGUCCCGAAUGUGGACGUCAGAGACGCAGUUACUUGAGUCAGCACGUGCGGCUGCCCAGGUGUGCGUAAUCAGGAGCAGGACCAGGACCUAGGUAUCCCAAGCAGCGUUUCUUUUUUUAAGACUUCUAAUUACUGGGGCCGGUGCUGUGGGGCAGUAGGUUAACCCUCCACCUGCGGCGCUGGCAUCCCAUAUGGGCGCCGGUUCUAGUUCCGGCUGCUCCUCUUCCAAUCCAGCUCUCUGCUGCAGCCUGGGAAAGCAGUGGAAGAUGGCACAGAUGCUUGGGCCCCUGUGCCCGCAUGGGAGACCAGGAACAAUUACCUGACUCCUGGCUUUGGGUCGGCACAGCUCCGGCCAUUGUGGCCAUCUAGGGAGUGAACCAACGGAAGGAAGACCUUUCUCUCUGUCUCUCUCUCUCACUGUCUGUAACUCUGCCUCUCAAAUAAAUAAAUAGAAGUCUUUUU